rnacentral:rRNA from 1 species
UACGUAGGUCCCGAGCGUUGUCCGGAUUUAUUGGGCGUAAAGCGAGCGCAGGUGGUUUAUUAAGUCUGGUGUAAAAGGUAGUGGCUCAACCAUUGUAUGCAUUGGAAACUGGUAGACUUGAGUGCAGGAGAGGAGAGUGGAAUUCCAUGUGUAGCGGUGAAAUGCGUAGAUAUAUGGAGGAACACCGGUGGCGAAAGCGGCUCUCUGGCCUGUAACUGACACUGAGGCUCGAAAGCGUGGGGAGCAGACAGG